UGGGGAAUAUUGCACAAUGGGCGGAAGCCUGAUGCAGCAACGCCGCGUGCGGGGUGACGGCCUUCGGGUUGUAAACCGCUUUCGCCUGUGACGAAGCGUGAGUGACGGUAAUGGGUAAAGAAGCACCGGCUAACUACGUGCCAGCAGCCGCGGUGAUACGUAGGGUGCGAGCGUUGUCCGGAUUUAUUGGCCGUAAAGGGCUCGUAGGUGGUUGAUCGCGUCGGAAGUGUAAUCUUGGGGCUUAACCCUGAGCGUGCUUUCGAUACGGGUUGACUUGAGGAAGGUAGGGGAGAAUGGAAUUCCUGGUGGAGCGGUGGAAUGCGCAGAUAUCAGGAGGAACACCAGUGGCGAAGGCGGUUCUCUGGGCCUUUCCUGACGCUGAGGAGCGAAAGCGUGGGGAGCGAACAGGCUUAGAUACCCUGGUAGUCCACGCUGUAAACGGUGGGUACUAGGUGUGGGGUCCAUUCCACGGGUUCCGUGCCGUAGCUAACGCUUUAAGUACCCCGCCUGGGGAGUACGGCCGCA
rnacentral:rRNA from 1 species